rnacentral:rRNA from 1 species
GAUGAACGCUGGCGGCGUGCCUAAUACAUGCCAGUAGAACGCUGAAGGAGGAGCUUGCUCUUCUGGAUGAGUUGCGAACGGGUGAGUAACGCGUAGGUAACCUGCCUGGUAGCGGGGGAUAACUAUUGGAAACGAUAGCUAAUACCGCAUGACAACAGUUAUUGCAUGAUAACUGUUUAAAAGGGGCAACUGCUCCACUACCAGAUGGACCUGCGUUGUAUUAGCUAGUUGGUGAGGUAACGGCUCACCAAGGCGACGAUACAUAGCCGACCUGAGAGGGUGAUCGGCCACACUGGGACUGAGACACGGCCCAGACUCCUACGGGAGGCAGCAGUAGGGAAUCUUCGGCAAUGGACGGAAGUCUGACCGAGCAACGCCGCGGGAGUGAAGAAGGGUUUCGGAUCGUAAAGCUCUGUUGUAAGAGAAGAACGAGUGUGAGAGUGGAAAGUUCACACUGUGACGGUAUCUUACCAGAAAGGGACGGCUAACUACGUG